rnacentral:rRNA from 1 species
UGGGUAGGGCUUCACACGUCAUACAAUGGUCGGUACAGAGGGUUGCCAAGCCGCGAGGUGGAGCCAAUCCCACAAAGCCGAUCGUAGUCCGGAUUGUUCUCUGCAACUCGAGAGCAUGAAGUCGGAAUCGCUAGUAAUCGCAGGUCAGCAUACUGCGGUGAAUACCGUUCCCGGGGCUU